AAGCUCGUAGUUGAAUUUCGGCCUUGGUUUGUGAGGUUCGGCCUUCACUGGUCGGUACCUUUACGAACCGGGCUCCACCUUCUGGGUUAGCCAGUUGUUACUUCGGUGCAGCUGGUGAACCAGAACUUUUACUUUGAAAAAAUUGGAGUGUUUAAAGCAGGCUUUCAAGCUUGAACAUAUUAGCAUGGAAUAAUGAAAUAGGACUUUGGCCUUAUUUCGUUGGUUUCUAAAGCCAAAGUAAUGAUUAAUAGGGAUAGUUGGG
rnacentral:rRNA from 1 species